UACGUAGGUGGCAAGCGUUGUCCGGAAUCACUGGGCGUAAAGCGCGCGCAGGCGGCGAUCUACGUCUGGGGUGAAAGCCCGGAGCUCAACUCCGGGACUGCCUUGGAUACGGGAUCGCUUGAGAAUUGAGAGGCAAGGGGAAUUCCACGUGUAGCGGGUGAAAUGCGUAGAUAUGUGGAGGAACACCUGUGGCGAAGGCGCCUUGCUGGCCAAUUUCUGACGCUGAGGCGCGAAAGCGUGGGGAGCAAACAGG
rnacentral:rRNA from 1 species